GGGGAUAGCGUUGUUCGGAAUUACUGGGCGUAAAGCGCACGUAGGCGGCUUUGUAAGGUAGAGGUGAAAGCCCGGGGCUCAACCCCGGAACUGCCUUUAAGACUGCAUCGCUUGAAUCCAGGAGAGGUGAGUGGAAUUCCGAGUGUAGAGGUGAAAUUCGUAGAUAUUCGGAAGAACACCAGUGGCGAAGGCGGCUCACUGGCCUGGUAUUGACGCUGAGGUGCGAAAGCGUGGGGAGCAAACAGG
rnacentral:rRNA from 1 species